GACGAACGCUGGCGGCGUGCUUAAUACAUGCAAGUCGAACGAAAAGGCCCUGCUCUUGCGGGGUGCUCGAGUGGCGAACGGGUGAGUGACACGUGAGUAAACUGCCCUUUACUUUGGGAUAACUUCAGGGAACUGGGGCUCUAACCCGAUAGGAGCUCCUGCUGCAUGGUGGGGGAUGGUGAAUUACGGCGGUUCGGGAUGGACUCGCGGCUUAUCAGCUUGUUGGUGGGGUAGUGGCUUACAAAGGCUUGGACGGGUAGCCGGCCUGAGAGGGUGACCGGCCACAAUGGGCCUGAGAUACGGCCCAGACUCAUACGGGAGGCAGCAGGGGGGAAUAUUGCAGAAUGGGCGGAAGCAUGAUGCAGCAACGCCGCGUGCGGGAAGACGGCCUUCGGGGUGUAAACCGCUUUCGCCUGUGACGAAGCGUGAGUGACGGUAACGGGUAAAGAAGCAACGGCUAACUACGUG
rnacentral:rRNA from 1 species